ensembl:lncRNA
CAAUAAAGCAACUACAUUUAUUUUGUAGGUGUGAAAAUAUUUCAGACAAGAUCAAACCGAUUCAAUGGUCAUCUGCACAAGGUGAUGGAAAAAAAGCUUUUUACCCCCCUAUGUUUUAACAGGCCACUGGCACUGAGUAGAGGUGUGUGCACGAUCGCCUUUAAAUUCCUAUUCCCGGGACCGUCCUGAAACACCUCCAGGUACUGUACUGAACUGACUCCAGGUACUGUACUGAACUGACUCCAGGUACUGUACUGAACUGACUCCAGGUACUGUACUGAAACACCUCCUGGUACUGUACUGAACUGACUCCAGGUACUGUACUGAACUGACUCCAGGUACUGUACUGAACUGACUCCUGGUACUGUACUGAAACACCUCCUGGUACUGUACUGAACUGACUCCAGGUACUGUACUGAAACACCUCCAGGUACUGUACUGAACUGACUCCAGGUACUGUACUGAACUGACUCCUGGUACUGUACUGAACUGACUCCAGGUACUGUACUGAACUGACUCCUGGUACUGUACUGAAACACCUCCAGGUACUGUACUGAAACACCUCCAGGUACUGUACUGAACUGACUCCAGGUACUGUACUGAACUGACUCCAGGUACUGUACUGAAACACCUCCAGGUACUGUACUGAACUGACUCCUGGUACUGUACUGAACUGACUCCUGGUACUGUACUGAAACACCUCCUGGAUGCUGCUGUAGACAUCCUCCUGCCAUCAUUAAACUAUAAGGCGUUUCUGUGACGUGCUGCGCUCCCAGUUAGAGGAGAUGACCCGUUGAGUGGUCUUAAUAAAACAAAACAAAACCUCUAAUACAAACGCAAGACUCUUCAUCGAUCUUCGUUUCCUUUUCUAAAACAUUUACAGCGUCUAGCAUUGAAGCGCUCACUGCAGACUCACCACCUCCGGGUAAUAUCCCCAGACCCCGAGCACUGGGGAAGAUCAGUGAAGGCCUCGUUCAUAAUUGAUGGUGGAACCAGAGGAGCUGUUUUUCAGGAUUAUUACGAGAGCCGAGUCCAUUCCCACGUGUGCGAAGAGAGAAAUUCACGGCUCAAAGUUUCAUUCAACAUUACACACACAUCUAAGAGCUGAACCAGGCCCUGGGGAGUGUUCUUUAUUGAAACGCUAAAGGCCUUGAGAAGAUUAUUUUGUGGACCAGGACAGGUGCAUCAAACGCCGAACAGAAUAAUAAUCGUCCUCCAGCAGGGUUGUGUCUAUAAAACAGCAGUGCCGCGUCGCAUCGCCAUUCUGCUCACCGUUGUCGCUGUAGCUGUUUAAAAAAGGACAAGUAACGCUCACGAUCAACGAGCGGAUAGAUUUUCUUUGACGUGACUCACAUGGAGCUUAAUUUGCAUUUAAACGUGUGUCGCGUGCCCUCGCUCGUCCCCUCGCGGAUGAACUAUUGAGCGUAAGGUACCGCGAGUUUAUAAUAGUGGCGAUAAGUACACAUAUCGUCGAGUUCACACUUUGUCAGACGAAGUUAAAAUACAACACGGAUUGGUUGAGCGGUUUCGGAAAAAAAAACAACAUAAAGAAACCUUCGAAGAAGCUGCGUUUAACGUAGAUCGCAGCGGAGUUACGAAAUGCAAGUUUACGCUAACUAUCGGCGACAAGACUGACCAUCACUGUGGGUAAAUAAAUCAAAACAAAUCUGCAGCAGUAAAACAUGAUUAGUCGUGUAGUCAAAUUGUGACGUCGCCGCGUACAUGGUCCGAAAAAGAGCGCAGAAAAGAAAAGAAAAGAGGGGAAAAGCCUGACCUACAGUUACCACACUCCCGAAGAUCGCUGUCUGGAAGAAAAGCCAUUCUAGCCAGAGCUGUUAUGAGAACUCUUCCGUAACAUGACCAAUCAAACGGGCUGCACUAUUUCUAGCUCCGCCCCCCACGUCCCUGUUCGGCUUUUCAGCACUUGAUUACAGUAGAUCUCACUAAACGAUGCAAAUAACAGUGAAGAGAGUUUUACCUUGUCAUGUCAUAGUAAUAUUUGUGAUACUUUUUAGUCUUUCUCAUCGGUGCGUAAAAUCUCCCUCGGGUAUAUUGUAUUUAACCAUAGUCUAAGGUACAUGGUGAAUUAUUUAAUGUUUCAUCUGAGCUUUUUUAGUAGCGACGUAACGAGUAUGAAUACACCGUUGGAGAAUGAGCAGGUAAUCGUGUUCUAAACUGAUACAAACACUCAGUACGUUUACAUGGACCACGAUAAUCCGAUAUUAAUCCGAUUGAGACGAUAUUCUGAUUGAGAAACUAGCAUGUGAACAGAGAUUACUGACGACCUUAAUCUGAUUAAAGUCACACUCGGAGUAAACACAGAUGGAAUUACGUCAUGUGGCGUAUUCCUGUUUUAUUCACGUUAUCGACGUGCGUUACAGACGCGUACACGCCUUAAUCACACUAUUAACGUCGUGCGAGAGUUUUCACCGUAUUGUGCGACAGGACACGUACACACACGGCAGCGCUCGAGCGUUUUACGGCGAACAAGAGAACGCGUCCCAAACCGCGUACUUACGCGCGGUGUAGUAGGCGAGAUGCAUGUAUUUAUGUAAGUACGCGGUUCGGGACGCAGCCCACGGCUUCAAUCGGUCGUCUGUUUGCACGUACAGCGCGACUAAUAAUCAACCGCACUUGAAGCUUUCAUAAAAAAAUUAUAAAUGAAACACCCGAAACUGUAUAUGGUACCAUAACGAAGAUGAACUGUAUGUCGAUAGGUGAAAUUCUGGAGGGAUGACGGACAUAUAUGUAUAUUUAAUAAUAAUAAUAAUAAUAAUAAUAAUAA